UGUAUCAGAAGUCGGACAGAGAGAGGGAGAGAGAGAAAAGGCGAGAGCUCUGGUAAUGAGGGAACUGAAAGCAAUGUGGGCAAUGUAAUAUUUUGCUUUAAAUAGGCACAGGGAACACAGAGGCAUGGGUGAGGGCUCAUUUAGGCUUAGGUGUAAGGGUGGACAACAGAAAGUGAUCUACUAAACGUAAUCUUUCUUAUUGUGAGGUACACGCGGUGCGCAUGCAAGUGAAUUUGCUGCAACGUAGCAUUUGCUAGCUGGCAAUCUGUCCUUUUCCUGCCGAUGUGUAGUUGAAGAUAUAAAAGUUAGAUCAUCAUGAUUAAAUGUCAUUUGUUCUUACAUUAAUUAUUGGUAUACGACAUUCUGGUUGAGUGUUAGAGAUAGAGUUCAAUUGCGAUGUGGUUUCCGAGGUCAUCUAUAAUGCGUUUUAGGUGUAACGUCCCUUGUUUUCUGGCCUCCUGUUUUCAUUUCCCCCUAUUUCACCGAUAAAUAUAUUGGAAUUAAUUUUAGUCCCUUGAUUUAGUAUUUUACUAUUGACGUUGGCAUCUAUGAGUCAGUCAACAUCGAGUAUUUAUGUAAAAAUAGAUUAAAAAGAAGGGGGGAGGAAAUACAUGCCAGAUUUUAGUAUAAUCUAAAGUUUAGUUAAUCGUAAAUAUUUAAAUAGGUUUUAUAGUUUAUAAAAUCUGCCAAAGGCGAUCGUCAUUACUUGCAUGAAUACAACUCAAUUUUUGUCUUUUCACUAUGAAGUUGCUGGAAUAAUGCUCUUACUUUUCUUAAAUCUAAUCUAUAAGGACAAUAUUGAAAUUUUAUCAAAAUAAGUAGUAAAUUAAAGUUUGUUCUGCAAAUAUAUUAACUCUUAUAUUAACAAUUUAAAGCUGAAUUUCAAUAGCAAAUGACAAUUGUAGGAAUUUUUUUUCUCCGUUUUUUUUGUUUUUAUUUUUAAUUUCGGUUUGUAAUUUAAUAGCAAAAUAGUUUCAUCUAUUUGAAUUAUUUCCUUUUGUGUUAUAAAAUCUAGUUUGCAUGUGAUCUCAAUUUAACAUUUAAGUUGAAUGAAACAGGAACUCGAAUACAUUACAUCGUAGUUGUUCAACUUGCAUGGCCUAGCAAAUAACCGUGACAUAUGAAGCAUGAAGCCUGUGGAGUAAGUCUUUACAUUGUUAUGGUCGCAAUUUUCUUGCCAUAACUCGAUUUCUGUAGUUCUUUGAAAUGGUUACAUUAUAUCCUCCUACAUUCAUAGUGUCACAUUUUCCCCCAUUGUUUAGUAGCCACUACUUGUGUAUUGAGUAGCCAUGCUCAUAAAAUUUCCUCGUUUUUUUACGCGUCUUGUGUAAAUUUACUUUAUCACUGUUCUUCUAUGUGAUCUCUUUGAAUUUUCAGUAGUCAGAAUAUUUUCAUUGAUCAAACAUUGCAUGAUAUCAUAUUACAUUGUUUCACACUAGCUUUAAGCAUUUUAAAUAUGCAACAAGGACCUAUAUCUUGGAGGUCACAGUAGGUAUGUAGGUGAUGCAUUGUGCGAUCUACAAUAUGUCGACUCCAACCUACUUUUUCAUUUACGGCUUUUCCUUAAUUGGAGUCUGGUAUAUAUUGGAAUACUUUCUACCCGAUUGAAGCUGAAGAGGGUGAUAGACACAACAUUUACUGAAUACAUUCUAGUGGUUAUUUGAAGUUAAAAUAGCUACUAUACAUAUAUUAGCUAUUUUUAUCUGGCAUUGACCACCAGAUUGUCAACACGUCGGUAUGAUUAACUUUUAGGUUAGGUGAAAUUCCUUUUCAAUUUAACAAGAGUUUUCAACAUAGAACCUUUAUGACAUUCCUGAACUCUCCAAUACUAUUUCCCCAAGUAUAAGCAUGUGGUCCAUCAUGAACCUCAACCGAAGUUCAGCUUCCAAGAAAAGGGUCUACAAUAUAUACGAAACAUGCAGCACUCUCUCCCAAGCAACUGAACUCUAUUCUACUUGUAUGAAAAACAUUGGGCAGUCGAAUAUAUCUCUUGACGUCAUACAUUAGCAUUAAGCUUAAUACGAGAGAUAUUUUCAAUAUGGUGUGCAUAGCCCUCAGUAACCAAAUCCAGAGACUUAGUAGCACGUCUGCCACUCCAUAUCAUCGUGCAUUGAAUAUUCUCUCACAAGUCACAACAAUGACACCAGAAUUUGUGGAAGAACAUUUGUCCUUGUUACAGUCAUCGGUACGAGGCAUGUCAAUUGUAGUUAAUAGCCUCUCCUGAUCUCGUAUUUAGCUACAUUCUUGGCGGGAAUUUCGGAAUGUAAUGGCAGAAUUGAUUAUAAUAAAUACUGAUGGUAACAACCUUGUAUAUUUCUGAAAUUUUGCUUACUACUACGUUUCAUUUCCACUGCCAAA